UAAAAUGCCUAAUGUCCUAGGUGGAGUAAUUAUCAUUAUUACUUUUAUUACCAUAUUGUGCUUUGUCAUUCAUUACUUAAAGUGGUACAAUCAAAUAAUUGUAUCCUUCUAGAAUGUAAAUUUAGCUUGUACUCACCUUAGCAGUGCCAGUUUAAAAACAAAACAAAACUAAACACAUAACUUUAGACACUAUGAAGAUGGUCGUUUAUUUUUAAUUUGUAUUUUUAGUUAUAUCUGUAAAAUAACUUAAAAUUUGUACAAAAAUAAAUGCAGUUCCAAGUCUGAUACUAACAGUAAUGAUGGAGUCAAAUGUUAGUGAAUCACGUACAUGACUAUGACCGGUAAACAUAAAUGCCGAAAUAAUUAGAAAAAUAAAUUCCCUUUCUUAAUAAAAGAGAAAAUAACUUGAUCACAUAUGUUAAAAUUAAGUAAAUACAUUUUUUAGUGGAGUGAAAAACAAUUGACUAAAACAGAGUAGAUAAUGGCAGUAACAGAGUAUCAGAUUUUAUUUAUCUUUAUGUGUACUAAACAUAGUGUACAAUGUAUCAAACUUGUGUUUGUGAUGUCUGUGUUAAGGUUCCAAAACUGAUACCUCAAGGUUUGGGAUUAGGAAUAUAUUGCUGUAUUAUCUCCUGAUCUAAAUUUACAUAUAAACUUAAAUUAUGGCUUUAA